UAAGGAAUAUUGGUCAAUGGUGGGAACACUGAACCAGCCAUUCCGCGUGCAGGAUGAAUGCCCUCUGGGUUGUAAACUGCUUUAGUCUGGGAAGAAAAAGCCUCAUUUAUGAGGAACUGACGGUACCAGAAGAAUAAGCACCGGCUAACUCCGUGCCAGCAGCCGCGGUAAUACGGAGGGUGCAAGCGUUAUCCGGAAUUACUGGGUUUAAAGGGUGCGUAGGCGGUUAUGUAAGUCAGCAAGUGAAAUUCCACAGCUUAACUGUAGGGACUGCUUUUGAUACUGCAUAACUUGAACCAAGAUGAGGUAGGCGGAAUGUGGCAUGUAGCGGUGAAAUGCAUAGAUAUGCCAUAGAACACCGAUUGCGAAGGCAGCUUACUAGACUUGUGUUGACGCUGAGGCACGAAAGCGUGGGGAGCGAACAGG
rnacentral:rRNA from 1 species